rnacentral:rRNA from 1 species
CCUACGGGAGGCAGCAGUGAGGAAUUUUCUGCAAUGGGCGAAAGCCUGACAGAGCAAUACCGCGUGAGGGAUGAAGGCCUACGGGUUGUAAACCUCUUUUCUCAAGGAGGAAGAUCUGACGUUACUUGAGGAAUAAGCAUCGGCUAACCCUGUGCCAGCAGCCGCGGUAAUACAGGGGAUGCAAGUGUUAUCCGGAAUUAUUGGGCGUAAAGCGUCUGCAGGUUGAUAAUUAAGUCUUUUGUUAAACCUUCGGGCUCAACCCGAAAUCUGCAAAAGAAACUAUUUAUCUCGAGUAUGGUAGAGGUAAGGGGAAUUUCCAGUGGAGCGGUGAAAUGCGUAGAUAUUGGAAAGAACACCAACAGCGAAGGCACCUUACUGGGCCAGUACUGACACUCAGAGACGAAAGCUAGGGGAGCAAACGGGAUUAGAUACCCCGGUAGUCCUAGCUGUAAACGAUGGAUACUAGAUGUUGUGUACUUUUUAAGUAGACAGUGUCGUAGCUAACGCGUUAAGUAUCCCGCCUGGGAAGUAUGCUCGCAGAGUGAAACUUAAAUGAAUUGAACAG